AUUGAACGCUGGCGGCAUGCCUUACACAUGCAAGUCGAACGGCAGCACGGGAGCUUGCUCCUGGUGGCGAGUGGCGAACGGGUGAGUGAUACAUCGGAACGUACCCUGAAGUGGGGGAUAACGUAGCGAAAGUUACGCUAAUACCGCAUAUUCUGUGAGCAGGAAAGAGGGGGAUCGCAAGACCUCUUGCUUUAGGAGCGGCCGAUGUCGGAUUAGCUAGUUGGUGAGGUAAAGGCUCACCAAGGCGACGAUCCGUAGCGGGUCUGAGAGGAUGAUCGCCACACUGGGACUGAGACACGGCCCAGACUCCUACGGAGGCAGCAGUGGGGAAUUUUGGACAAUGGCGCAAGCCUGAUCCAGCCAUGCCGCGUGAGUGAAGAAGG
rnacentral:rRNA from 1 species